rnacentral:lncRNA from 10 species
CUGGAUCUCAAUCUCUUAGUUACGUUACUCCCAAUUAAGCUGAUGUAUGCUCACAAAGCGUCAUUAUGUGAUUUAAUCACAGAGCAUUUUGAAUUAAUUAUACACGGGCAUUUUAUAACAUUCUAGGUGCCUCAUUAAAAUUGGUGCUGCUUUUAAUAGAUACAUAAAUGAGUGUGGCUGUGGUAUUGAAGUUCCAAUCCUGAGAAAUAUCCCCUACUGAAGUCAAAGUAACAAAAUGACAUCAUGCAAUGUGAUCAUCCACUCGGUCUUGACUUCAAAUGAACUUGACUCUCCAAUAUUAAAUCUACCUUGGAUGAUCAGCUGCUACCAGUGGAGUUACUUGAAUGAACAUGCUGCCAAUUCUGAAAGCUGAGCUCAAACUCUUGGAAUCAAGGAAUCCUCCCACCUUGGCCUCCUGAGCAGCCAGGACUGCAAGCACAUGCCACUGCACCUGGAUUAAGAACAGCUUUUAAAAGGUUGUAUGAGCAGCAACAAAAAAAGAAAAAGAAAAAACUGGCAGAAACAGAAGGAAGAGUAUGGCUUACAAAAAGAGAGUUCAAGGAAAAGGAACUACUGCUUCUCUGUGCCUGAGGCUCAAGAAAG